rnacentral:tRNA from 1 species
CCGGCGUAGCCCAACAGGUUUAGAGCAUCCCGGUAUAAAUCGGGAAAGUUGCAGGUUCGAUUCCUGCCGUCGGCA